AGGGAAGGGAGGAGGCUUUAGAGCUGGACUUGGGCGUCUUGUUCGCUACUGCUCGAACCUGCAAGAAAUCGGCUCCAAAAUUUGCUAUGCUCACAGUCAGUCUGCAUCCGGACCACGGAGUCUUCAAGAGUCACGACGGAGCUGGCCCAAUUUCGUCAGCAAUUUCGUUGGGUCAGCUACCCCAACAGACUCUGUCAGUCUAUUUAACAAGGGAGUACAGAAACAGCCGAACCGUACUGCUUCUGCUGUACUCGUGCCCAUGUGGUUCGGGGACAUGAAUUCUGUCGGCAGGAGGCAGCAGCCGCGAGCGAGUGAGCUUAGCGUUCUGAAGGAAAUGAGAAAAGUAUUGAGGAGAAAAGAAUGUCAGAAGGGCCCGGAAAUAAAGGUAUAUUCCCCUCUCUCACUCUCAUCCUGCAGAUCUCUCACACGAUCGACAAGCACACAAGUACACUGGAGUAGGUCUUCACGUCGGAGAUCCGGAGGCCGGAGCCCGGCGCAGAACACUAUCCUACGACGAAGGCGCCAACACUAUAGCACAUCACCGAUUUUCCAUUUCAGAACGACAAAUCAGAGUCAGUCCAGUACUCACCUACUGCACUCCUGGCAAUGGCAGAAUCCAGCACAUAGUCCAGUCCUGCCGAUGAGGAACCACGCGGAAAAGAAGUCAGCAUGCUUGUAAAUGAGCAGGAGAACACAGGACUAGAUGUAGACAUGUAGCUAGCCAUUACAGUUUUGGGAUCUCAACAGCGUUGAUCAAAGAGGUAAGGUUACCCUUCAAAACGUCGAUUUCACCACCCAAAAAAUUGGAUUUCAGUUUUGGGAUCUCAACAGCAUUGAUCAAAGAGGUGGGGCGUUCCUGGCUGGACCCCCUCUUUGGCUGAUGAUAAUCUGCAGCAAUGGUGGUCGAACCGCAAGGUGCCGAGGUCCCGAGGAUCGAUCAGAAGGAUGUUGAUACCGGUAUCAUACUUGUGCUCUGGUGCAC